AUUGAACGCUGGCGGCAGGCCUAACACAUGCAAGUCGAACGAGUGGCGGACGGGUGAGUAAUGUCUGGGAAACUGCCUGAUGGAGGGGGAUAACUAUUGGAAACGGUAGCUAAUACCGCAUACCAUCGGAUGUGCACAGAUGGGACUAGCUGGUAGGGGGGGUAACGGUGCACCUAGGCGACGAUCCCUAGCUGGUCUGAGAGGAUGACCGGCCGCCCGGGAACGGGGGCACGGUCCAAACUCCUACGGGAGGAAGCAGUGGGGAAUAUUGCGCAAUGGGCGCAAGCCUGAUGCAGCCAUGCCGCGUGUAUGAAGAAGGCCUUCAGGUUGUAAAGUUCUUUCAGCGAGGAGGCGUUACUCGCAGAAGAAGCGCCGGCUAACUCCGUGCCAGCCGCCGCGGUAAUUC
rnacentral:rRNA from 1 species